AUUUUAUUGGUGAUUGACAUUCUUUACAGAACAUGGAGAAUUGUCCCAAAGAAGAAUACACUCUCCUUUUGGCCCCUGUUAGGAAUGUAUGUCUGUCUUAUCUCUAUUCCUUCACUUCUGUGAAAAAAAAGAGAGAAAAUACUGCUUGAUUAUUUCCUCAUGCCAGUGGCAUUUAAAUAGCUAAGUGUACAUGUUCUAAGAAUGGAGAGUGAUAGCUUGUUUGACCAAACUUCUGAAGUGCUUUUCAAAAAGUACUUUUGGUGAGAAACACUUUGUGUUUGACUAAUUAAUUUAAAGCACACUUUUGAGCAGCUAUCAGCAUUUGACCAAGCUUUUAAAAAGUGCUUCUAAGUUUAUUUUCUCAAAAGUGUUCUUCAAAAAAGUACUUAUGGGGAAAAGCUACUUUUCUUUAGCUUCUGAAAAAUAGUUUGUGCUACUCCUAAAACAUGGCGAAACACCCACUUUUUUAAACAAAGCAUUUUUUAGAAAGAAUUACACACUUUUGGCCUCCCAAAAGUUUGGCCAAACAGGCUUUGAAUCGAAUACAUAAUUACGAAUAGUAAAUCAAGGUAUACUAUUUACGAGACCCUGGAAUAUCUACAAGAUUCUAGCACUUUCCCUUAAGUUGAUGCAUACAACCCAUAUUUAUCAAGCUCGUUACAAAUGUAACUGAUAUGAAAUCGGUGAGGGACUUGGUUAAAAUAUUUGGAAGCUAAAAAUUGAAGUGUCAAAAGCUUCCACUUCAAGUCAAGUAAAUGGGUGUACUCAGAAUGUGCCUGUGGCCCUCAGUGUCAAAAUUUCUCCAAAAAGUACGCAAAUGUCCAUGCGCCGGGGCGUGAACUUAAGCUUUUCCAGAAUCUGGAAUGUGGGAGGUGCAUGACAGCUUGUGCGGAGGUAUUUGUGGGAGAUGCUUAUUGUGAUUUUGUCACCAGUUCAAGAGGAAGUCCCUGUUGGUGUUCGUUUUCGCACUUAUUCCUACGCAUACAACCACCUCAAAACAGUAAAGGGAGGAGAACUCAACUUCAUGGAACUCUAGUGCUGUAGCGGGAGAAAGCUCUCUUCAAAAGGCUAUUAAUAGCUCUGAUACCAUGCAGAUUUCAAGAAGAAGAAAAGUCUUUGUUGUAGUUUUUGAGGAAUUUACAUCCCAUGAGAAUGGGUACUGCUACAAUAUGUCCUACAACUAAAUAAGCAAAGAAAAUAUUACAAAAUCAAUUACAAUCAUUACAAUAUCCAUUACUCUUAUAAUUAAGUUAGGAAACAAAUCAAUCACCAAAAAACUGUCUAAAAGGAUGUUUGCCCUUGUGCUAAAGAAACUUGUUAGCACCCUUUAAUUAAAAAGUUGAUUAAAUCAGCAGCUUUUAAUUAUAUUUUCCUGUUUUCUCUGUAAUAGUUCUUCUGUAACAGUUGUUUUCCUGUAGCAGUUGUUUUCUUUGUUGCAGUUAUUAGCAGUAAGGAGGUUAUUCCUCCACUUUCUCAUUUCAGUAGUAGUAGGAAGUUACUUCCUUGUUAUAAGGUGGGUGGUUAAUCCACCAAUGUUAUAUUUACGUUAUUUGAAUUCCAUGGAAAGAUGAGAAGAAAAUUAUUAUGAUUUUGAGUACUUCAAACUCAACAGGUUGCACGUUUUAUCUUAACGAACCAGCACCAUAGGUCGUAGGAAGAAAACAUUUGAUUUCAUGUCGCAGCGCCCCAUAACUAGAUCCAUAUCAGGGACCAUAACAAAAUUCAAUAUAAUUGGGUAAAGAAACUAUUUAGUCAUUCAAAGUAGGAUCCGAAGGAUUUUGUACCAAAAGCCUCUACCUCCAAGUCAAGUGAAUGGAGUUGUAAGCUGAAUAGAGUUUUCCUAAAUAGGGAGCUGAAGAAGAUGUACGGGAAUUGCUGGAAAGUGACCCUAUUUGCCGGAAAGGUCACUGGAAAAGCUUCUCAAAUCAUUGUGAGUGUAUUGGGAUGUUGGUCGACUGGUAGUUUGCAAAAUAUAUGGUGAAAAGUGGUAAAAAAAUAUCUGAUCUUUAAGAUAAAGGCUCUUCAUCAACCAAAAACUGAUGGAACCUUGAUGGUAAGGUUAGAUCAAAUAGGCAAACCCCACAAACCAAAAUCAGCGAAGAAAGUUUGUUGGGAAAAGGUUGCACAUACUCCAGAGUUAAAUGUCGGUGGUGCAUGGAGGGCUGGAGGCGCGUGAUAGGGUGUCUGACAAUUAGCUUUCUUGAGUUGCAUGAUGAAGCAGGGUCUCACUGGUAUAUGCACGUACUGAUGGAGAAUGACAAACUCGCUGGACAGUAAUCACAACAAUGAAAACAUACCCGGUGUAAUUCCACAAGUGGGUCUAGGGGGGUGAUAUGUAUGCAGGUCUUACCUCAACUUAGUGAAGGUGGAGAGACUGUUUUGGAUAGACCUUCAGCUCAAGUUAAGCAUUUUAAGCAUCUUUGAAAAGUAAAUACAGUAGUGAAGAUACCACGUUGCAAAUAAUGUAGAAAAGAACAGUAACAACAACAAAUAAUACAAUACCGAAGCAAGGGAAACAAAAGAUAAUAAUAUGAAUCAUAGAAAUAGAAGAGUAAUAGUUAUAGGAGAGUAAUAAUAAUAGUAAUAGGAAAGUAAUGCUAAUAAUACUUGGAAAGAAAAACAAGACUACGCACAACUACCAACUAAACUUCUAUUAUAUACUCGACCUCCAUAUCUUCUUAUCUAGGGUCAUUUCCUCGGUAAUCUGCAUAUGUACCCUGUCCAGUCUAGUCACUUUUCCCCAAUACUUAUUCUUUUGCCUACUUCUACCUCUCCUCAGAUCCUUCUUUCAAUGUCGUACAGUAAACACACUGGCCUGAAAACUGCACGACGAUGGAGUUUCUCGCUUUACUGCACAACAGCUAAUUUCUUACUUGAUUACAGGGAGUAAGUCACGCUGUACUAAAUUUACCAUAUCCUAGAAUAUCCACAAGAUUCUAACUACUACCUUUUGUUUCCUUUUAAUAGUCGUGAAAUGUCUUAACAUUUGUGCUAUGGAGAAGGCUCCUGGUCCAAAUGGUUUCCCAAUGGUUUUUCCUUUAAAACUUUCUGGGACCUUGAAGAAGGACAUUAUAGACACUGUCAAUUUUUUCCACACCAGCCAAACUUUUGAGAAAAGCUUCAAUGCAACCUUCAUAGCAUUAAUUCCAAAGAAACCAGAAGCCACAGUGCUAAAAGACUAUAGACCUAUUAGUCUGGUAGGGGGGAUUUACAAAAUCAUAGCUAGAAUUCUAGUUGAGAGGCUCAAAACAGUGUUAGAUAAGCUAGUCAACAACCAUCAGAUGACAAUCAUCAAGGGAAGACAAAUCAUGCAUGCUGCAUUAUUAGCCAUUGAGUGCAUAGAUGCAAGAAGAAAGAAUGGUAUUCCGGUAAUAAUGUGUAAGCUUGACAUUCAAAAAGCUUAUGAUCAUGUGAACUGGGACUACCACCUCAAUAUCCCAAGGCAAAUGGGAUUUGGAGAUAAAAUGGGUGAAAUGGAUGGAAGUUUGUAUCAAAACAUUUAGAUUCUCUGUUCUUGUGAAUGGUGAGCCUAUUGGGUUUUUUGCCUCUGAGAGGGGUUUGAGACAAGGAGAUCCACUCUCUCCUUUCCUAUUUAUUUUAGCUGUGGAGGGGUUUGACAGUAUGAUGAGGACUGCAAUCCAAAAGAGAUGGAUCACAAGUUUCCGGAUGAACAACAGAAUGGGAGAGGGUAAGGAGAUAUACCAUCUAUUGUAUGCAUAUGACACCAUCAUAUUUUGUGAGCCAACAGUGGAUCAAAUUAGGUUUAUCAGACUAAUUUUGAUACUCUUUGAGAGUGCUUCAGGGUUGAGAGUCAACAGGGGAAAGAGCAACCUUUUUCAAGUUUUGGAGGUUCCUUAGGUUCAAAGCUUUGCCAACACACUAGGAUGCAGAAUAGAAAAGCUACCAACCACUUAUCUUGGUAUGCUCCUAAGCUAUAAACACAAAGCACUAGAGAUAUGGGAUGGGAUUCUAGAGAAAACUGAGAGGAAGUUAGCUAAGUGGAAGGCCCAGUACCUAUCAAUGGGGGGGGGGGUAGAUUGAUCUUAAUAAACUCUGUCCUUGAUUCACUACCUACUUAUGUGAUGUCACUUUUUCCAAUCCCAGCAAAAGUGGUGAAAAAACUGGAAAAGAUGAGGAGGAAGUUUCUGUGGCAAGGGAAUAAAGAGGGGAAAGGUUACUGUUUGGUGAAAUGGGAAACAAUGUUGCUUAGUAAAAAAGAUGGGGGUCUGGGAAUCAGAAAUCUUAGGCUGCAAAAUGAGAGUCUUCGAUUGAAAUGGUUAUGGAGAUACAUCAAUGAGGAUAAGGGCUUUGUGGAAGGAAGUCAUUGUGUCUAAGUAUGGUGAAGCUAGCCCAUGGUGCACGGAAAUGGUAACUGAUACCUAUGGAGUGGGAGUAUGGAGAACAAUUAGGAAUUAUGGCAAUUUAUGGAAGACAAUACUUGCCUCAAGGUUAGCAAUGGAGCAAAGACAAUUUUGGAGAGAUAGGUGGUUUGAUCAAACUCAUUUAAAAGAGGCUUUCUCUUACCUAUUUCUUAUUUGUGUAAACCCUGAGGUGACAAUCCAAGAGUGUUGGUCCACACAGGGGUGGGAUAUAUCUUUUAGGAGGCGUUUAAAUCAGUGUUAUGAAAGGCGCUCGCCUCGUCGCCAAAGGCGAGAGGCGAGGCGAGGCGAGGCGAGGCGAAAAAGGCGAGGCCCUGGCGAUAAUGGCGCUGAAAUGGCGAGAGAAAGGCGCCGCCUUUUUGAUUAAAAAUUUUUUGACUUAAUAAUAUUAGUCAAAAUUAGGGUUUUUUUUUUACUUUCGAAAAUUUCUGACUCUCUCUCUCUCGAUCGAUCGAUUCACUCUUCUCUUCUCCCUCGCCGGCCCUCGCUGCUCCCUCGCUGUCCCUCGCCGGCCCUCGCUGCUCCCUCGCUGUCCCACGUCGGCCCUCGCUGCUCCCUCGCUGUCGCGUCUCUGCUUCCUCGCUCUCCCUCGCUGUCACAUCUCUUCACCCUCGCGGCUCGCCGGCGACCUCGCGACUCUCUCAGCGAAUUAAUUGAAUUUGAUAAUCAAUGGCGGAUGCUAGCAAAAAGAGGGACAUUGGAUGGAAUUAUGGCACUCAAGGAGCGACAAAAGAUUCGGUCACUUGUAACUUUUGUGGGAGUACUUUCAAUGGUGGAAUAACGCGACACAAACAACAUUUAGUGGGUGGUUUCAAAAAUGUUAAACAAUGUGCCGCUUGUCCGUCGGAAAUUAGAGAAGAAAUAAGGGCUUAUAUG